UUGCUCACUUUACCAGCAUAUAUGGUAAAAUUUGAAUAAUACAUUCAGGAUUAGCAUGGCCUCAUAUGAAGAUGAUACACAAAUUUGUGAACUACAUAUUUUUUAU
ensembl:snRNA U6 U6 spliceosomal RNA